GGCUUCUAGCCGUUCUGCGCCAGCCCUAGGCAAUGGUCAGAGCCUGGGAUUUGUCUGGGCUUUGCAACCCUGGAGGGCUUUGCUGCUUGCUGCAGACCCAAGAGCUGCCAGGAGGCCCCAGAAAAUGCUUGAGAACAAAGAGGCAAUAAACACACUCUGAACCCUUUUACCAACUGGCUUCAUCCCAAACCAAAAUGAGAAAUGAAUUGCUGGGUUUUCCUCUUUCCUAGAAAUGCUGAAAAGUGAACUAAAAAUCAGAAGCUAUUAGCGUCAGAGUCCAGCCUGUCCAUUAUGAUUUGGGGAAGAGUCAGAAAAAAGAAGGGACAGAACAUCAUUCAGGAAAACCAUGAUGCGCUUCGUUUUCUCUUAUGAAAUGGUAACCACAGUCGCCAGUCAAUUGCUCCAGCCAACCUGAAUCCACCAACUACAUCACCAGCUGCUCUCGCCCUCUGGCUUUACUGUCUUCUGGGAAUCACCUGAUCUGUUACCAAGACCCCUGAGCGCUGACCACAUGCUCCCAUUUGUGACUCUAGUUCACAGUAAAAUCACCGCCUAUGGAUUUUCCAACAUGAAGCUGUUCAUUUCACUCCUGUUAGCAGCUUUGAGGAUUAUGAAGAAAUUUUAAUUGUUUAAGAGAGAGAGUGUGUGUGUGUG